rnacentral:rRNA from 1 species
GGACUCGGGGGGAAGUAUGCUCGCAAGAGUGAAACUUAAAGGAAUUGACGGAAUAGCACCACAAGAUGUGGAGCUUGCGGCUUAAUUUGAUUCAACACGGGAAAACUUACCAGGUCCAGACAUUAGUGAGGAUUGACAGAUUCAAGUUCUUUCUUGAUUCUAUGCAUGGUGGUGCAUGGCCGUUCUUAGUUGGUGGAGUGAUCUGUCUGGUUAAUUCCGAUAACGAACGAGACCUCAGCCAUCUAACUAGCUGUCACUAUGGAAAAUAGUGCUCGACCCAGGUCGAGUUCAGCUUCUUAGAGGGACAAUCUGUGUUCAGCAGAUGGAAGAUUGAGGCAAUAACAGGUCAGUGAUGCCCUUAGAUGCUCUGGGCUGCACGCGCGCUACAAUGACGCRCGCAACGAGUUCCUUGCUCGAAAGAGCUGGGCAAUCUUUAAUGUGCGUCCAAGUAGGGAUAGAUGAUUGUAAUUUUUCAUCUUGAACAAGGAAUAUCUAGUAAACGCAAGUCAUCAACUUGCAUUGAUUACGUCCCUGCCAUUUGUACACACCGCCCGUCGCUUCUACCGAUUGAAUUACUGGGUGAACUGGAUGGAUUGGACUUGGUUUCCGAACCAUGUUUUAGAAGUCCCGUGAACCCAGUAAUUUAGAGGAAGGAAAAGUCGUAACAAGG